rnacentral:lncRNA from 1 species
CUUUCUUAUUCCUUUGGGUGCUUUUGUGAUAAAGAAGAUUAUGGUGACAACCUGUCCUUCUGCAGCCAAUACGUGCAGUGAGUUCAAAACAUUGAGCCUUUCAACCUGAUCUGUUCCCAUUAUCUUCAUUCUAAAGGAAGACAGUGAGUUGUUAGAGGUGAGGGCAGCUGACUCAGCGGCCUGGCAGGAGGGUUUGGUGUUGUGAUCUGCAGUGCCAGGCCUCUAUGGGAAGGGGCCAUGGCAUGGGAUGCUACACUAGGGAUGCUGAUAACUGGGGCCUGCUAGGGCUGUGGCUUUGUCUUGUGGUGAGAUGGGACUGGAUACAGAGGUAGGGCUGCUGCCUG